rnacentral:lncRNA from 1 species
UCACAAUCCCGCUCACCACUUUAUCUUUGCUUUGAAUAGCUAUCCCUUCGUAAUAAAGGGAUGAAGUAAUGGAUGCAGACUAAGAAGACUUGAAAAUAGGUUCAAAUUGAGCAUGAAUAAAGAAAGGACCUGCAACGGCAGAAACUAUUUAACAGAAUGAAAGAGCUUAAAUAGUUACUAUGUUUGGAAUCAUAGCAGGAAAGACGAGCUAAGCUUGAAACUCCUAGGCAACAAGUCUUUGAUUCGAUUGAUUUUCACUCUUUCGUCCAAAAACUCUAACUAGUCCAUCAGCCAAGCCCUUCUG